ACAUGCUUCUUUAUAUCCCCAUAUGGAUUACGCUGCUAUGGAAUGUAAGGAAGUGUGUGG
rnacentral:pre_miRNA from 1 species